ensembl:lncRNA
UUUUGGUGUAGUGUGUUUUUGAUGUUUGUCGUUACAUGUAAAGCAUUAAAUGAAAUUUGUGUUCGAAGGGUGCAAUAUGAAUGAACCUGCCUCGCUACAGACUUGUCCUGCCUUAUAUCAUGGCACAUCUUUGUUGACUCUUCGUGUCCGAUUGUGAGUUGAGUGUCCUUGACCAGGAAAUGCCUUUCAGAAAAUAAACAAACAUCCUGCUGUGGGUGUGAUAUUAUUGGAUGUAUUUCUGAAUUAUGCUUAGAUAGCAUCAGAUUCUCGAUGGAUUAUGACGUCAGAACUUUGGUUGCAUGCUGAGUGCAAAAUUAUACUUUGCUUGCGUGCGUCCAUACAUCACCUCCCCCCACCAAGACGGGAUCGCCACUGCAUAUAACUGUGCAUGUGAUUAGUGGAGGACACACCACAGCUGCCUUAUCUCUGGUUUUAGAAUCUCACGAUUGCAGCGGCACUGCUGUUCAGCCAGUUAACUAACCCAUCUUACCAAGUAACCAACCCAUCUCACCAGGUGAUCAGAUGUGGUCACUGCUGUUCAGCCAGAUAACCAACCCAUCUCACCAGGUGAUCAGAUGUGGUCACUGCUGUUCAGCCAGGUAACCAACCCAUCUCACCAGGUGAUCAGAUGUGGUCACUGCUGUUCAGCCAGGUAACCAACCCAUCUCACCAGGUGAUCAGAUGUGGUCACUGCUGUUCAGCCAGGUAACCAACCCAUCUCACCAGGUAACCAACCCAUCUCACCAGGUGAUCAGAUGUGGUCACUGCUGUUCAGCCAGGUAACCAACCCAUCUCACCAGGUAACCAGAUGUGGUCAUGCUUAUUGGUUGAUCCCCAUGAAAUGUCAUCAGUUGUGAUAAAGGCCCCUGUCAAAGGUAAUCACCACGGGUAGGACAGCC